CAGGCCAAGGAUGGGAGAGGUUCGGGCAGCCUGUACAUAGCGAAGCCCUGACCCUCUGGGGUGAAGGAUCUGAAGAAAAAGGAGAGAGCAGAGGAGAGGCAGGAUGCCGAAGAGAUCCAGGCCCUCACAGCCACCUCUGCCAGAGCUGCUCCAUGCUCAGUCCAGGGGUGAAGAAAGCAGAGGAUCACAGGGACCGGGGCUGGGGCUGGACAGGGACCGGCACUGGGGCUGGAUGGCACCAAGAGAACGCCCACUGCCAGAGACAGAACUGCUCUGGAGUCUCGACUCCUCUCGAUCCGUGAGGCCAGGGAUCAGACACCGGCUGAGGUCGCCGGGAGGACACUGUCCCCAGCUCUCUUCAAACAGAGAAUGCAUUCAGAGAAUAAACAAGACCCAAGAAAGCGCAGUGUUCACUUUGGAUUGAGCAGAAAUGGCAUUCCGAGGCAGGGGACCUCUUCCCAGCCCAGAGAGAGAGGAGGCAGUGGGCUCAGAGCUCAGACUUGUUUCCUUUUCCUGGAAGAAGCUUCCAGCUCCUGGGCUCCCGCUUACUCAGGCCGCCCCCACCACGUGAGAACUCAG
rnacentral:lncRNA from 1 species